UUCAAAAAAAAAAAAGAGAGAGACUUUUUGUUUCUUUUUUCUUUUAAACACACUCCCUACACUCGCCCCAUCUGUCUGCUUGGAGCAGGUGGGGCUGGAGGCAGGUUGAAGCCGUGGGCAGGCUGCAAAAGAAACGGGGACAAGAAUAAGCACAGAGCAGAUUCCUUCUCCUCCCUGCCACCCCACACACACACCUUCCCCCUCACGCCACCCAGGGCCUUACAGCACCCACAGAAAUCAUGUCAAAUAUUCUAGUCUGCUUGGCCACGGGCUCCAUACACUCUGAGGGCUCCAUGCUGCAACCAGCGGGAUCCUCCACGCAGUUCUGACCCUGUCCCUCCCCUGCUCAGGACCUCUCCCUAGUGCCCAUGGAUCACGUCCAAGGCCCCUAUGGAGGCUGCCAGGGGCCAUCUGCCUUGGCCCCGCCUGCUCUCCAGCCUCACUGGUCUGCUCGCUCCAACACACAAUCUCCCCUUCUCCUGGCCCCAUGAAGACUCCCUGCUCUCACACCCCAAGACCUUUGCACAUGCUGUACCCCUUGCCUGGCACUCUGUUCACCCAUCUUCUUCACGGAGGCCUUCCCUGACCACCCCUUUCCCUUCCCCUCACAGCACUUGCCUCUGUCACCUGCAUGACUAUGUGGGUAAUGUCGCCUCUCCCACUGGACUGUGGGUUCCACAAGGCAGGGAUACAGUCUGUCCUAGCCCCCACUGUGUCCCCAGCUCUGCAGGCAGGGGAGGAGCAGGGCUGAGGCGCGUUCGAGGCGCCUACAGGAGUGGGUGAAGGGGAGGGCCGGGAGAUGUAGCUGGUCCCUCCCCACCCACCUGUGUCCCUUCUCUUUGGGGAUAAAGCCCUGGAUCCCCAUCAUAGCCCAGGCCCUGAGCCCUGCCACCCUGCUCUCUCCCCCUCACCCACUCCCCCAAGAAAUCAUGAUGACAACAGUGACAACUCCAGUCAUAGCAGGCAGGGCAAGAAGAUGAGGCUGUCUUCAAAAGGCAGCUUCGCCGACAGAGCAGGGUUCAACCAUCAUGCCUAUUACUGACUUCCAGCAAAUCCAAUAACCUCUCUAUGCCCGUUUCCUCCCCUGUACAACGGGGACGAUCGGGACA
rnacentral:lncRNA from 1 species